UAAAAUACAAUUUUGGUUCGGAAACCGUUGCGAACAUUCAAAUAGAUAAGUGUUAUACUAACGAGAACUAACUGAUAGGAGAGCCAUCUGACAUUAACUUUGUGUAACUUUCUGAACGUACAUAUGAGCGCGAAUGACUAUUAUGUAUAGUGUUAUGUAUAUAGGUUACAACGGAGGUUCAAUUAGUUUUAAGAUUCAUUCUGUUAUAGCAUCCAGUAGAUGUAAGAUAGAAACGAAUAAAUAUUGUAACUAUAGUCGAAGGAGUUGCAUUUUAUUUCAUGGUCCUUCGUUCGCCAUCAAAAAGUAAUCAGCGAGACGAAGUGAUAUACAGUCCACAAAUCAAUUAUAACAAGUUCAAGUGCGACAGUUUCAAUCGGUGCGACAAACUGUUCUAAAAGUACGGGUGCCUGAGAAUUGGCCGGUUAAAUUUGAAAAUUCCGAGGAGUGGAAAUAGUUUGGUUCAUGGAAAUUAAAAUCGUCAAAUCCACUAAUUCAAAGAAAAAACCGAAAAUCGUUGGACAAUAGCCGUCGAAGAAAAGUUGUUGUGCGCAGAGUGGUACAAGGUCACUGAGUUGGUGGGAAUUUCCAGUUGAAAUUCGUUCGACGAAGAUAUUACGGCAAAGCAAGAUCAGCGAGUUGGUGGGAAUUUCCAGUUGAAAUUCGUUCGACGAAGAUAUUACGGCAAAGCAAGAUCAGCGAGUUGGUGGGAAUUUCCAGUUGAAAUUCGUCGAAGAAAAGUUGCUGUGCGCAGAGUGGUACAAGGUCACCGAGUUGGUCGAAGAAAAAUUGUUGUGUGCAGAGUGGUACAAGGUCACCGAGUUGGUGGAAGAAAAGUUGUUGUGCGCAGAGUGGUACAAGGUCACCGAGUUGGUGAAAGAAAAGUUGUUGUGCGCAGAGUGGUACAAGGUCACCGAGUUGGUGAAAGAAAAGUUGUUGUGCGCGGAGUGGUACAAGGUCACCGAGUUGGUGGAAACCAGUGGUUUAUAUCGAACUUGAGAAUCAACGGCCAAAAACAGUCGAUGGUCAGAGAAUCAAUCUAAGUUGGUAUUAACACAAUUGGCAUCAAGGCAAGAUUACCGAGUUGAAAGUCGUCGAAGAAAAGUAGUUGUACGUAAAGCGGUAGCAAGGUCAUCGAGUUGGUGGAAAGUUCCAGUAGAAUUUAUCGUUGUUCGUUACAUACCGUACGGAAGCAAUCGUGGAUCAACGUAAACCGUAAGCAGUGGAAUUGGUACAAUUGGCGAACAAAGCAAAGUCACCGAGUUGGUGGAAAGUUCCAGUAGAAUUUAUCGCUGUUUGUACCUACCGCACGAAGCAGUCAACGCAGGAAGCAUUCGUAGUCAUUGGGGAUCAAACUAGGUUGGAAUUGGUACAAUUGGCAACCGAGGCAAGAUUAUCGAGUUGGUGGAAAUUUCCAGUAGAAAUUCGUUCGAAGCAGGGUCAUCUGUUCCGAAGCAGUCUCGAAGUAAUCUAAUCGAUUGGAGCCGUGAAAAGGGUCAUCAAACGCUGUGCGUAGAUUUGGUUCAAGCCGCAGUCUCAUAAUCCAUUGGUCCAGAAGAUCAUCCAUUUUUCCAUAAUCCAUUGGUCCAGAAGAUCAUCCAUUGGUCCAGAAGAUCAUCCAUUUUUCCAUAAUCCAUUGGUCCAGACGAUUACCUAUUGGUCCACGCCACAUCCAUUGUCGAACAUGUCUGGGGAAACACAAUCAACCAAAGAAUCACAUAUCAUCAAACCGUGUGGAUUCACUUAUCUGAAGCACAAGCGGACGAAACAAUGUUCCAAAUUUCAGCAAUCGUCUCGACAUAACCUCAUUAUGGUUACCACGGAAAAAAGUUUUUUUUUUAUUUAUCGCGGAAUUUGAUUACACACACGUUAACUAGCUUUGUCUUAACAAAUUAACGUAAUAACGCGCACUUAGAAAUCAAUUAAAGUUAGUAUGCGCAUUUGGUUUACCGAUUAAAAAAAAAAAAAUAAUAAUAAUAAUUUCACUUUCACAUAAUGACAACGACGCGUUGCAACAAAGUAAAUUUCAGUUCGACAGCUGUUUCAAAACUAGGUCAUUGACACGUACAUUGUUUGAAAAUUUAGGACGUUCGAUUGGAUGAACAUUUGUAGUUGUGCGAUUUUGUUGUCAAAUUUUUUCUGUCAUUGUAAGAACUUUAAAUCACGAUCGUUUCGGGCUGGUUUCAACCGGGGUAGACUCGGCCAGUUGUUGCGAUGGUGAUUUAAAACGUUCAAAAAUUUUUAUAUCGUCAUUCUUAAUUUAAACAUGAAUGUUUCAAGUCGGGAAGUGGUUCGGAAACCGUUGCGAACAUUCAAAUAGAUAAGUGUUAUACUAACGAGAACUAACUGAUAGGAGAGCCAUCUGACAUUAACUUUGUGUAACUUUCUGAACGUACAUAUGAGCGCGAAUGACUAUUAUGUAUAGUGUUAUGUAUAUAGGUUACAACGGAGGUUCAAUUAGUUUUAAGAUUCAUUCUGUUAUAGCAUCCAGUAGAUGUAAGAUAGAAACGAAUAAAUAUUGUAACUAUAGUCGAA